rnacentral:rRNA from 1 species
AUUGAACGCUGGCGGCAUGCCUUACACAUGCAAGUCGAACGGUAACAGGUUAAGCUGACGAGUGGCGAACGGGUGAGUAAUAUAUCGGAACGUGCCCAGUCGUGGGGGAUAACGCAGCGAAAGCUGUGCUAAUACCGCAUACGAUCUACGGAUGAAAGCGGGGGAUCGCAAGACCUCGCGCGAUUGGAGCGGCCGAUAUCAGAUUAGCUAGUUGGUGGGGUAAAAGCCCACCAAGGCGACGAUCUGUAGCUGGUUUGAGAGGACGACCAGCCACACUGGAACUGAGACACGGUCCAGACUCCUACGGGAGGCAGCAGUGGGGAAUUUUGGACAAUGGGCGCAAGCCUGAUCCAGCAAUGCCGCGUGCAGGAUGAAGGCCUUCGGGUUGUAAACUGCUUUUGUACGGAACGAAAAGGUCUGCCCUUCUGUG